rnacentral:rRNA from 1 species
GUGUCAGCAGGCCGCGGUAAUACGUAGGUGGCAAGCGUUAUCCGGAAUUAUUGGGCGUAAAGCGCGCGUAGGCGGUUUCAAUAGUCUGAUGUGAAAGCCCCCGGCUCAACCGGGGAGGGUCAUUGGAAACUGGGGAACUUGAGUGCAGAAGAGGAGAGUGGAAUUCCAUGUGUAGCGGUGAAAUGCGCAGAGAUAUGGAGGAACACCAGUGGCGAAGGCGGCUCUCUGGUCUGUAACUGACGCUGAUGUGCGUUAGCGUGGGGAUCAAACAGGAUUAGAAACCCGGGUAGUCC